AUGUGCGUCAGCAGCAUAUAUACUAAAACUGCAACAAUACAGAUAAGAUUAGCAUGGCCACUGUGCAAGGAUGACAUGCAAAUUCAUGAAUUGUUCCAUAUAUGU